UAAAAGGAAAUAAGCGCCAAAAAGUGAAAUGUUCAGGAGAGUCGUUUUAAGUUUUGAGUUUAAGAAAAACUGACGUAUCUCUGUUAUUUAUUGACGUAUCGUGAUAAUUUAAACAGUUAUAAAAUGAUAAAAAAUGUGCCUCGUACCGGUAUUGUUAGUUUUAAUGAUUUGGUGCUAUUUAAAGUAUUUUUGUCGCUUAUAACAAUUACUUUAAAAUUUUGAAUGAGGUAAUAUGGCAUAAGAGACAAAUGGCAAAAAAAAAUUAGAGAAUAAGAAGCCUAAACAAUAUUCUGAUUUCUUAUAUCGCAAAGUAAAAGGGUAUACGAGACUAGACGAUUCAGUAAGUGUUAUAGGAAAAAAAGGAUAACGACUUUUUACAGUGGUCGUUUAUUAGUUAAUAGAACAGAAGUAACAGUAGACUUUCACAAAAACUAGACUUAAGUGACACACAAUGUCAUUUGAAAGUGAAGGAAAAGAAGAAUAAUCAACAUCUGGCGACUGGCAUUGUGUGAGUCUAUGGAAAUGUGGUUGAAAAAGGUUUAUGGGUUGUAGGGUAUAACCGACAGAGUAAUAUGAAAAUAAA